rnacentral:rRNA from 1 species
AACGAACGCUGGCGGCAGGCUUAACACAUGCAAGUCGAGCGCCCCGCAAGGGGAGCGGCAGACGGGUGAGUAACGCGUGGGAACGUACCUUUUGGUUCGGAACAACUCCGGGAAACUGGAGCUAAUACCGGAUAAGCCCUAACGGGGAAAGAUUUAUCGCCGAAAGAUCGGCCCGCGUCUGAUUAGCUAGUUGGUGAGGUAACGGCUCACCAAGGCGACGAUCAGUAGCUGGUCUGAGAGGAUGAUCAGCCACACUGGGACUGAGACACGGCCCAGACUCGUACGGGAGGCAGCAGUGGGGAAUAUUGGACAAUGGGCGCAAGCCUGAGACAGCCAUGCCGCGUGAGCGAUGAAGGCCUUAGGGUUGUAAAGCUCUUUUGUCCGGGAAGAUAAUGACUGUACCGGAAGAAUAAGCCCCGGCUAACUUCGUG